AUGGCUUCUUAUGGUGAUGAAAUGGAGGGAUCUUUGGGAUGGGAGGGAUAGGCUUGUAGAAUACUGGUGGUUUAGGUUUCUUGAAUAUUGGAAUAUGAGGUGGAAGUGGCUUCUUGAAUAUUGGAAUAUGAGGUGGAAGUGGCUUCUUGAAUAUUGGGAUCAGUGGUUUCUUAAAAAGUGGAAUAGGAGGUGGAAGUGGUUUCUCAAAUUUUGGAAUCGGCGGCGGCAAUGGUUUCUUGUAAAUCGGAAUAGGUGGUGGAAGUGGUUUCUUGUAAAUUGGUAUUGGAGGAGGCAAUGGUUUCUUGUAAAUUGGUAUUGGAGGCGGAAGUGGCUUCUUAUAAACUGGUAUCGGCGGUGGAAGUGGCUUCUUAAAAAUGGGUAUUGGCGGUGGAAGUGGUUUCUUAAAAAUGGGUAUCGGCGGAGGAAGUGGUUUCUUAAAAAUGGGAAC
rnacentral:lncRNA from 1 species